UAUGUGAUCGUCUCUCGCAUAUCAAUAAGCGGAGGAAAAGAAACUAACAAGGAUUCCCCUAGUAACGGCGAGUGAAGCGGGAAGAGCUCAAAUUUGAAAUCUUAAAGGGUUUCCCUUUACGAAUUGUAGUUUAAAGAAGUGUUUUCUGUUGAGGUUUUGGUAAAAGUUCUUUGGAAUAGGACAUCAUAGAGGGUGAGAAUCCCGUAUUUGACCUUUACUUUCAACUUUGUGAUACACUUUCAAAGAGUCGGAUUGUUUGGGAAUGCAGUCCAAAAUGGGUGGUAAAUUUCAUCUAAAGCUAAAUAUUGGCGAGAGACCGAUAGCGAACAAGUACCGUGAGGGAAAGAUGAAAAGAACUUUGAAAAGAGAGUUAAACAGUACGUGAAAUUGUCAAAAGGGAAGCGUUUGACACCAGUGUUGUUUUUCUGAAAAUCAAUUAAAGAACUGUUUAUGCUAAGCUGUUUAGACUUUAUCAGCUAUCUGUCUAGUUUUGAGCUUUUCUUUAAUGCACUUUUCAGUUAACAAGUCAACAUCAAUUUCUUUUGCUGUAAAAAGGCUUGAGGAAGGUGGCUUGAGAUUCGUCUUAAGUGUUUAUAGCCUCUUGCCUAUGCAGUCGGAGAGAUUGAGGUCUGCAGCGUAGAUCCUUCGGGGCUAAAUGCAUUUGUGCUAAGUUAUAGCAUUUUAUAGACAACUUGUUGACUAUGAUUUGUCUUGUAGCUUACUCGCUUAUGUUAUUUUACCUACGCUUAGGAUGUUGAUCUACAGAGCGAGAGU
rnacentral:rRNA from 1 species